CCUACGGGAGGCAGCAGUGAGGAAUAUUGGUCAAUGGACGAGAGUCUGAACCAGCCAAGUAGCGUGAAGGAUGACUGCCCUAUGGGUUGUAAACUUCUUUUAUAUGGGAAUAAAAUGUUCCACGUGUGGGAUUUUGUAUGUACCAUAUGAAUAAGGAUCGGCUAACUCCAUGCCAGCAGCCGCGGUAAUACGGAGGAUCCGAGCGUUAUCCGGAUUUAUUGGGUUUAAAGGGAGCGUAGGUGGAUUGUUAAGUCAGUUGUGAAAGUUUGCGGCUCAACCGUAAAAUUGCAGUUGAAACUGGCAGUCUUGAGUACAGUAUAGGUGGGCGGAAUUCGUGGUGUAGCGGUGAAAUGCAUAGAUAGCACGCCGAACUCCGAGUGCGAAGGCAGCAUACCGGCGCUCAACUGACGCUCAUGCACGAAAGUGUGGGUAUCGAACAGGAGUAGAUACCCCGGUAGUC
rnacentral:rRNA from 1 species